rnacentral:lncRNA from 11 species
UGUAUUGCAACUGGACGGUGAAAUUCUGAAGCUGCAUAAUCAGAGUGGAAAAAGAAUGCAAUCCUUCUCACCGAUCGGAAUGCUACUACAGAAGCAACUGGG